UACGUAGGGUGCAAGCGUUAAUCGGAAUUACUGGGCGUAAAGCGUGCGUAGACGGUUAUGUAAGUCAGAUGUGAAAGCCCCGGGCUUAACCUGGGAAUGGCAUUUGAGACUGCAUAGCUAGGGUGCGGAAGAGGGAAGCGGAAUUUCCGGUGUAGCGGUGAAAUGCGUAGAUAUCGGAAGGAACACCAGUGGCGAAAGCGGCUUCCUGGUCCAGCACCGACGUUCAGGCACGAAAGCGUGGGGAGCAAACAGG
rnacentral:rRNA from 1 species